GGUUUCUUGUAUAUAUAGGAGAUUUGACCUGCCCACUGAAGUAAAUUAUUUUGAAGGGCCGCAGUAUUUUGACUGUGCAAAGGUAGCAUAAUCAUUAGUCUUUUAAUUGAGGGCUGGUAUGAAUGGUUGGACGAGACAAAAGCUGUUUUAAAUUGAAUGAUUUUGAAUUUAGAAUUUAAGUAAAAAUACUUAAAUUAUGUUAAGGGACGAGAAGACCCUAUAGAGUUUAAUAUGUUAUAAUUUUAAUUAGGUUAUUUAAUAGUUUUUGAUUAAUUAUUUGGCGUAUUUAGUUGGGGAGAUUGAAAGAUAAAAUUAACUCUUUUUUGUAGUUUAUAGUAUAAUUAGUUGAAUGAUCCAUUAUUUAAAUGAUUAUAAGAUUAAAUUACCUUAGGGAUAACAGCACAAUAUCUUUUGAGAGUUCGUAUUGAGAAAGAAGAUUGUGACCUCGAUGUUGGAUUAAGAUAAAUUUUAGGUGUAGAUGUUUAAAAUAUUGGGUCUGUUCGACCUUUAAUUUCUUACA
rnacentral:rRNA from 1 species